rnacentral:RNase_P_RNA from 2 species
UCCUCUUCAACGCUGCGUUUCUAUGCUACAAACGGAGAGUCUGCGCAAGCAGUCUCUCAUUCUACCUUUGGCAUAUGAGAAAUUCGGAGAAUCAGCUUCACUCUUCAGCUCGCCCAUUUCACACUCCGGUGUGCGGUGGUGUCGACGCUCUGCCGGUAACGGUCCAGCGCGAUCUCGCGUCCUGUAAUUGGCAUCAGAAAAGCAGGGCCUGGGCUGGACACUCGCGCUCGUUCGUGGGUGCUCCAGUUCCAGGUUCCUCUGGGAGGGCCAUUACGAAGCUUGUGGUCAAACACUUGAGUGCGAUACGCAGCGUGCGGUUCUUCCCUGUGGGGAACCGUACAAUUCGAUUCCGAUUACUCUGUUGAGGA